UGUGAAAAAUGCCAUUGAUAUUUUGGUAGGAAUCACAUUGAGUCUGCAGAUUGCCUUGGAUAGUAUGAUCAUU
ensembl:snoRNA